rnacentral:rRNA from 1 species
AAUAUUGGACAAUGGGGGCAACCGUGAUCGAGCCAUGCCGCGUGUGUGAAGAAGGUCUUCGGAUUGUAACGCACUUUAAGUUGGGAGGCAGGGCGUUAGGUCAAUACACUGAAAUUUUGUCGUUACCUACAAAAUAAGCACCGGCUAAUUUCGUUACACCAGACGCGGUAAUAAAGAGGGUGCAAGCGUUAAUCGGAAUUACUGGGCGUAAAUCACGCGUAGGUGGUUCAGUAAUAUGGGUGUGAAGUCCCCGGGCUUAACCUGGGAACUGCUUUCAUAACUGCUGAGCUAGAGUACGGUGGAGGGUAGUGGAAUUACCUGUGUAGCGGUGAAAUGCGUAGAUAUAGGAAGGAACACCAGUGGCGAAGGCGACUACCUGGACUGAUACUGACACUGAGGUGCGAAAGCGUGGGGAGCAAAC